GACGAACGCUGGCGGCGUGCUUAACACAUGCAAGUCGAACGGAAAGGCCCUGCUUUUGUGGGGUGCUCGAGUGGCGAACGGGUGAGUAACACGUGAGUAACCUGCCCUUGACUUUGGGAUAACUUCAGGAAACUGGGGCUAAUACCGGAUAGGAGCUCCUGCUGCAUGGUGGGGGUUGGAAAGUUUCGGCGGUUGGGGAUGGACUCGCGGCUCAUCAGCUUGUUGGUGGGGUAGUGGCUUACCAAGGCUUUGACGGGUAGCCGGCCUGAGAGGGUGACCGGCCACAAUGGGACUGAGAUACGGACCAGACUCCUACGGGAGGCAGCAGUGGAGAAUAUUGCACAAUAGGCGGAAGCCUGAUGCAGCAACGCCGCGUGCGGGAUGACGGCCUUCGGGUUGUAAACCGCUUUCGCCUGUGACGAAGCGUGAGUGACGGUAAUGAGUAAAGAAGCACCGGCUAACUACGUG
rnacentral:rRNA from 1 species